rnacentral:rRNA from 1 species
UACGUAGGGUGCAAGCGUUAAUCGGAAUUACUGGGCGUAAAGCGUGCGUAGGUGGUGAGUUAAGUCUGUCGUGAAAGCCCCGGGCUCAACCUGGGAAUGGCGAUGGAUACUGGCUCGCUAGAGUGCGGUAGAGGAGAGUGGAAUUCCCCGGUGUAGCAGUGAAAUGCGUAGAGAUCGGGAGGAACAUCAGUUGCGAAGGCGGCUCUCUGGACCAGCACUGACACUGAGGCACGAAAGCGUGGGGAGCAAACAGG